rnacentral:tRNA from 44 species
GGGUGGUUAGCUCAGCCGGGAGAGCAUCUGCCUUACAAGCAGAGGGUCGGCGGUUCGAUCCCGUCACCACCCACCA